UAGGGAAUCUUCGGCAAUGGACGGAAGUCUGACCGAGCAACGCCGCGUGAGUGAAGAAGGUUUUCGGAUCGUAAAGCUCUGUUGUAAGAGAAGAACGAGUGUGAGAGUGGAAAGUUCACACUGUGACGGUAUCUUACCAGAAAGGGACGGCUAACUACGUGCCAGCAGCCGCGGUAAUACGUAGGGCGCAAGCGUUGUCCGGAAUUAUUGGGCGUAAAGCGAGCGCAGGCGGUUAGAUAAGUCUGAAGUUAAAGGCUGUGGCUUAACCAUAGUACGCUUUGGAAACUGUUUAACUUGAGUGCAAGAGGGGAGAGUGGAAUUCCAUGUGUAGCGGUGAAAUGCGUAGAUAUAUGGAGGAACACCGGUGGCGAAAGCGGCUCUCUGGCUUGUAACUGACGCUGAGGCUCGAAAGCGUGGGGAGCAAACAGGAUUAGAUACCCUGGUAGUCCACGCCGUAAACGAUGAGUGCUAGGUGUUGGGUCCUUUCCGGGACUCAGUGCCGCAGCUAACGCAUUAAGCACUCCGCCUGGGGAGUACGACCGCAAGGUUG
rnacentral:rRNA from 1 species